ACUUUUCCCCUUUUCAACAAGUUGUACUUCAUCCUUCAGUCUUGGAUUUAUACCAGAAAGAUUUUAUAUCUUUCAACUUCGGCUUUGUUUUGUCCAUAACCUAUUGCGUCGUACAAUAUAUGAAUUUUUCUUGCAAUAGCAAAGACUGGUUCUUUCACUCGAUGUCCAACCGAUGAUGGAACCAAUCUUUUUAUCACACUAUUCAUAAAUGAAUGAAAAAGUUGAAUGAAUGGUCCUUAAAAGAGUUCGAUUUGGAAUGGGAAGAAUGUGUCCAUUUCGAAUGGCUGGUGAUUUCUGGUGUUGUGGUCCAAUUUGCUGCCUGCCCCCUUUCCUCCAAUCUCCCCAAAUUCUUCAUUCUCUUCUUCUUGUACUUCUCUCAAAGCUAAUAUUAGUUGUUGUGCCCAGCUCCGAGCUGAAAUAAUCCUGAAAAUUAUAAGAGGAGGAGAGCAACUAGAAGCAAAGACAGAAAGUGUUUUCUGUGGAAAAGAAAAAGAAUUAGAGAUCAAAUGAAAUGAAAAGAUAAUAAUCGGAUGUCAAUAUUUAUAGACAGAAGAUGAAAGAUUUAUAGAAGAUCACAAUGACAUAAUCAAACUGAUGUGAUAUUGAAUAUAUCAGGUCAAUUUAAUAUAUCAGAUCAAUUCAAAUAUUUAAAAUGUCAUUGAUUUUAUGUUGAUAAUUUCUAAUAAUAAAAGAAAAAGACAACAAUGUCCUUUUAACCAAUAAAUGCUCGUGACAACUAGCAAUAGCAAGUAUCCACCGCCCCAUUUUUUUCUUCUUUUCAAGCAAUUAGAUGAAUGAGUAACGAAUGUCUGAAGAUGGAGUAAGGUUGAAACUGAGAUCUGAGAGUGACUUAUAUCCAUCUCUAAUUCUUAUGUCUAGAUUUGUUUUCUGGUGCCGACGUCUGCGGCACCUAAACCUGUUUUAGUACGAGCAAUUGACGUGUGAUUUGUGUAUAAAUUCACAUUCGAGAAAACAACUGCGUAACAAACUAAACAUUCCAAAAGAAUUUCAUUGCAAUACUUCAAACCGUGUUGGUUUACGGUCUGAAAUUUUGGUUCUCAACACUAUGAUGAUCACGGUUUUGUCUAAUUGGUUAAGUAAAACAUGUUACGAAAUUCCAAACGCAUUAGAAUACUAGGAAAAUUCCUGAUUUGGAACCCAUGUUUUAAUAGUUGAACUGUCAUACAUAUACUUUUUGUAUAAACAAAUAAGAGUGUUGCAUCCCAAACAUUUUGCUUACCCCAAUUUCCCAAAUCAAAAACAAUAGCUGUGGUUUUGCUAAUUUGAGCAGUUUUUUGGCCAAGAAGUGGAAUGAUCAUGGAAUGUUUGACAAAAUCAUAAGUGGCUGUCUGUCUAACUAAAAUGACCAGGACAAAAACACUUCCAUCAAAGCAUGGAGAGACUUAAAAAAAUACAUAUUCUUCUAAUACUUGGACCUUUUAUUACAGGACAGAAUCAUUUAAACAUCGAAUGUUAGUUAAAAAAAAAAACUUAAGAAAGUGAACACUUCUAAGCUCACAUAACUGCGUGCAUGGGAGAUUGGAAAAAGGGGGUAAAAUAGAGAGAGGUCGUUGAUGUUUUUCGCUAAAUCAAACAAAUUCACCGAAACGAAAUGGGUCUACCAUGUGCCACUGCCGACUGCAAUGGCUCAUGAUAGCUCGCAACCUUCCAAAGGGAAAUGCGCAUAUGCUUUGCCCUGUGCUGUGGCCUCAAGCCUGCAGUCUACACUUUUUUUUUUUAUAUAAUUGAGGCCGGCAGAAUUUAACUCUAAUAAUUAGAGUUAAGAAUCACAACUGUUGGUUGUAAUCCACACAUAGCAGAGUGGUAAAUGCCAUUUCUACUAAUUUCUAAUAUUCUCUCAAAUGACAUUCAUCCAUAAAGAAAAAUAGUGAUUUUUCACAUUUUCAGCAUCUCUUCUUUUUCUUGUUUUAGGCAUUCAAUUUUCAAUUACUACAUAAACGAACUUCAUUAACAGAUAUCUGUACAAACGCCGGUUAAGAACCUAAGAUGCAUGAAUUCAUAACUUACAUGUGAAUAAAUUGUAUAAAUUUGAAAUAAAGCAAAUAUAACCAAUAUUAAUAUUUUCCGUAAAACAAACAAAAAUAAUUGGUCACGGCAGAGUGUAAUGGGUCAGUGAUUAUGGAAUUAUUGCUGUUGAUGUGAUACGAUGAAACUGAAUAAUUGGUUUAUGCGCUGGCCUUUUUUUUUUCUUUUGGUGAGUGGGAAGUAAUAGAUAGUCUCUUCAUUCAUUUCUGGCUAAAUACUUGAAUUGAAUGGGAAAAAGGAUACAGAUACCAUGUUCGGAACAAACAAAAUCAUGUGCAUUGAAAACAACCAUUGAGGUGACUUUGCUAUAAACUAUACCUAUACUACAAGGCUAGCAAAGAAAACGAGUGAAUUAGGAUGGCUUCUCACCCAUAUCCACAGAAACACAGACAACAAAUGCAAAUUGCAUGAUUUUUAAUAUCUUUACUUUUGACCUUUCCUUGACCUUUUUCAAUGCUAAUAAUGAAACUUUUAAGCAAUCUUUGGCGUUUAGUUAAAUUUAUUCCUACUAUUUGCAUAGAGUUACAAAAAUUCCUCACUGGUGGAUAUAAAAAAAAAAUCGAAUCCCUUCUCCCCAUUUUAGGUUCUUUUGAUUAGUUUCUUAUGAGUCUAUCCAUUGCGUCUUUAUCAAAACAAGGAAUGUUGGUUACCGGCAAAUAUUUGUUUUUGGACCCAUUAGUUGGAUGACCAAGGUUAUUGGGCUUUUCUAGUAACCCAUGCCUAAGGUUUUAGUUGAUGGGUUUAGACAAACUAAUAGCAUUGUACUUUCUCAAUGUUUUAUUCGAGUUUUGCAUUCUUGGUGGUUGUACGAAAGUUUGUAUUAGAUUCUUCAAUUUUUGUAAGAAAUAUUUUUAAAAUAAAAAAAUUCUGAAUGCAGCCUAUCAAUGUUAAAAUUCGUCUUUAACCUUACAAAAUUCAUGAAUGUUGAAUGAUAUAUAUAUAUAUAUAUAUAAAACUACGAAGACAAUUGAUAAAAAUCAGGUAGUUAAAUGGCCAAAACCAUACCUUGCAAUCCGUGACACUGUUCCAUGUGAUUACCUUCAACGGGCUUAAGCUGCCAAUAUUGACGUUGGAAACAUCCGAUUGUCAGCAUAUGCGAUGCAUGCAAAUCUUUACUAUAGUUACAGAUAGUGAUAAAUUUUGGUGAAAACCUUGUUUAGCAGCAAGGAUAAUAGGUGAACUUGGGCGUACCCUGCCAAUAAAUCGGUGGUGAAAUGCGCAACCGACAAAAGCAGUCUUUU
rnacentral:lncRNA from 1 species